GGGUGGUUAUGGGGCCGCUAUGGGUCCCAUCCCCCAGCAGCAGUUAUGGGGUGGUUAUGGGGUGGUUAUGGGGUGGUUAUGGGGCCACUAUGGGUCCCAUCCCCCAGCAGCAGUUAUGGGGCAGGGAUGGGAAGUUUGGGGUUCCCCCCUUGGCGGCAGUUAUGGGGUGGUUAUGGGGCGGAUAUGAGUGGUUAUGGGGUUCCCCCCCAGAGGUGGUUAUGGGGCCGUUAUGGGUCCCAUCCCCCAGCAGCAGUUAUGGGGUGGCUAUGGGGUGGCUAUGGGGUGGUUAUGGGGUUCCCCUCCCAACAACCGUUAUGGGGUGAUUAUGGGAUGUUUCAGAUUCCCGCCCCUCCUCCCCCUGCUGGCAGUUAUGGGGCAGGGAUGGGACAUUUGGGGUCCCCCCGAUGGCGGUUAUGGGGCAGAUAUGGGAGGUUAUGGGGCUGCCCCCCCCGGUGGUGGUUAUGGGGCAGAUAUGGGAAGUUUGGGGUCCCCCAGGUGGUGGUUAUGGGGCAGAUAUGGGAAGUUUGGGGUUCCCCUGGUUGUGGUUAUGGGCCAGAAAUGGGAGGUUAUGGGGCUGCCCCCCCCCAGCGGUGGUUAUGGGGCAGAUAUGGGACAUUUGGGGUCCCCCUGCUGGCAGUUAUGGGGCAGAUAUGGGAGGUUAUGGGGCUGCCCCCCCAGCGGCAGUUAUGGGGCAGAUAUGGGAAGUUUGGGGUCCCCCCUGCUGGCGGUUAUGGGGCAGAUAUGGGAGGUUAUGGGGCUGCCCCCCCCGGUGGUGGUUAUGGGGUAGGGAUGGGCGUUUGGGGUUCCCCUCCCCAGUGGCCACUAUGGGGCAGCUAUGGGGCCACAUUGGUGCCGCUAUGGGGCCACUAUGGGGCGGCUGUGGGCAGUUAUGGGGCAGCUACGGGGACACUGUGGGGCAGCUNNNNNNNNNNNNNNNNNNNNNNNNNNNNNNNNNNNNNNNNNNNNNNNNNNNNNNNNNNNNNNNNNNNNNNNNAUAGUGCUGCUAUAGGGCAGCUAUGGGGCAGCUAUGAGCAGUUAUGGGGCAGCUAUGGGGGAGCUACAGAACCACGAUGGUGCUGCUAUAGGGCAGCUAUGGGGUGGCUAUGGGGCUGCUAUGGGGCCACAAUGGUGCUGCUAUGGGGCUGCUAUGGGGCCACUAUGGGGCCGCUAUGGGGCCACAUUACUGCCACUAUGGAGCUUCUAUGGGGCAACUAUAGGGCAGCUAUGGUGCUGCUAUGGGGCUGCUAUGGGGCCGCAAUGGGGCCACCUUGGUGCCGCUAUAGGGCAGCUAUGGAGCCAGAACGAUGCCGCUAUGGGGCAGCUAUGGGGCCACAUUGGUGCUGCUAUGGGGCAGGUAUGGGGCCACAUUGGUGGUGCUAUGGGGCUGCUAUGGGGCAGCUAUGGGGCCACUAUGGUGCUGCUAUGGGGCUGCUAUGGGGCCACAAUGGUGCUACUAUGGGGCCGCUAUGGGGCUUCUAUGGGGCCACAAUAGUGCCGCUAUGGGGCCGCUAUGGGGUCAGAAUGAUGCCGCUAUGGGGCAGCUAUGGAGCCACAUUGGUGCUGCUAUGGGGCCGCUAUGGGGCUGCUAUGGGGCCACAAUGGUGCUGCUAUGGGGCCGCUAUGGGGCCAGAAGGACGGCACUAUGGGUCCGCUAUGGGGCCAGAAGGACGGCGCUAUGGGGCAGCUAUGGGGCCAGAAUGGUGCCGCUAUGGGGCCAGAAGGACGGCGCAAUGGGGCAGCUAUGGGGCCAGAAGGACGGCGCUAUGGGGCCAGAAGG
ensembl:lncRNA